ACAAGCAGUGGGAGCACAGGUUUACCUGUGUGACUGCGUACCUUUUGUAUAAUGGGUCAGCGACUUAUAUUCUGUAGCAAGGUUAACCGUAUAGGGGAGCCGCAGGGAAACCGAGUCUUAAUUGGGCGUUAAGUUGCAGGGUAUAGACCCGAAACCCGGUGAUCUAGCCAUGGGCAGGUUGAAGGUUGGGUAACACUAACUGGAGGACCGAACCGACUAAUGUUGAAAAAUUAGCGGAUGACCUGUGGCUGGGGGUGAAAGGCCAAUCAAACCGGGAGAUAGCUGGUUCUCCCCGAAAGCUAUUUAGGUAGCGCCUCGUGAAUUCAUCUCCGGGGGUAGAGCACUGUUUCGGCUAGGGGGCCAUCCCGGCUUACCAACCCGAUGCAAACUGCGAAUACCGGAGAAUGUUAUCACGGGAGACACACGGCGGGUGCUAACGUCCGUCGUGAAGAGGGAAACAACCCAGACCGCCAGCUAAGGUCCCAAAGUCAUGGUUAAGUGGGAAACGAUGUGGGAAGGCCCAGACAGCCAGGAUGUUGGCUUAGAAGCAGCCAUCAUUUAAAGAAAGCGUAAUAGCUCACUGGUCGAGUCGGCCUGCGCGGAAGAUGUAACGGGGCUAAACCAU
rnacentral:rRNA from 1 species